GUAUGUGCCGCAACGAUAGCGUCAGCCUGGGAGCGCAGCCGAAGCGUGCGGCCCCAAGGAGCCCGGCCCUCUUAGGAGAUGCCAACUAAGAGACAACGGCCUGGUAACGGCUGGAACUUCCCAGAUGGCGAGGUGGCCUUCUUUCACACCUGAUGCAGAUUUGCAUCCCCGGACAGCCGAGAGACGCAGAUCGAUUAUAUCUGUGGCGGAGCGCUCCAUACCAGGUGGUAAAGCCGGAUCUUAGCAGUCAGUGUCGAGUGAGCGAGGCGGUCCACUUGCAUUACGCCGAACCCCCUCGCAGAACGGCCGACGGACCCGGCUCGCCGCCCUCGUGACCCCUCCGCAAGUAUCGCAAAGCUCUGCGAUG